GCAGGGGAGGGCCGGGAAGGGGAGGGACCGAAAGCGCGGGAGAUCGCGGGGCGUCGCCUCCGGCGCUCGGUGACGUCGUGCUGCUGUCCCGCCACUGGGAAUCUGCAGAUCCCACAGGAGAGUGAACAGGGCCAGGAGGUGCUCCAAGCAGUGGAGAAGAGAUCCCCCUGCAGCUUGUUGUGAAGACCUUGGUGAGGCAGCUGUGCUCCUGCAGCCAAGGAGGUCCACAGUGGAACAGACAUGCACCUACAGCUCGUGGAAUAUCCCAUGCUGGAGCAGGUGUGUGCCCAAAGGAGGGAAUGAGCACUGCAUGGGAAGUGUGGAAUGGCCACCAUGUGGGAAGAUCACACUGGAGGAGGCUCCUGGCAGGACCUGUGGCCCCAUGGAAAGAUGACCCCACUCUGAAGCAGGUUUGCUGCCAGGCCUUGUGACCCUGUGGGACACCCAGGCUGGAGCAGCCUGUUCCUGAACGACUGCACCCCAUGGAAGGGAUCCAUGCUGGAGCAAUUGGUGCAGAACUGCAGCCCAUGGGAAGGACUCGGUUGGAGAAGUCCAUGAAGGACCACGGGAGGGACCCCACACUGGAGCAUGGGAGGAGUGUGAGGAGUCCUCCCUCUGAGGAGGAAGGAGCAGCAGACACAACAUGUGAUGAACUAACCACAAUCCCCAUUCCCUCUGAGCUCCUGGAUGGAGAAGGUAGAGGAAAUUUGGAGUUAAGUUCAGCCCAUAAAAAAGGGAGGAAUGAGGCAAAAAGCCUUUGAGAUUUAGUUUUAUUUUUCAUCACCCCACUCUGAUUUGACUGGUAAUCAAUGAAACAAAUUUUCCCAAGUCUGUUUUGCCCAAGACAGUAAUUGGUGAGUGAUCUCUCCCUGUCCUUAUCUUGACCCACGAGCCUUUUGUUAUAUUCCCUCUCCUCUGUCCAGGUGACAACGAGAGUGAUGGAGCAGCACAUGGACACCUGGUGUCCAGACAAGGUCAACUAACCACAGCAUUUAGUGUUUUUUCUGAAGUUAAACUGAUACCCUGUUAAUGUGUUGUGCUCCUUGCUGUUUUUAAACCUGUAGGCCAGGAGUCCCACUGAGGUCACAGGAGAGGUGAAUUCGUUGCAGGAUUAGUUGCACUUUUUUUUUCCACUCUGAAAUUGAAUACUGUUGGAUUGCCCUCAUCUGUGCUUUCAAGGUAAUAUGAACUUGUGUUGAAAUUAACAGGUCGUUCUAAGAGCCUUCAAGAUCAACCAUUUCCCCUCAGUUUUGCAUUAUUCUACUUCAUUGCAAAGAAUGUUUCCUUUUGCUGUGUUGUAAAAUCCUCUUCAGUAAGAUAAAAAUUAAAUGUACAUGUCCACAAAGUACAUGUGAAUCUGUUUGCUCUGCUUAUUCUAACUUAGUUCUUGUGUACACUUAUUUCAUGGGUAAAAUUAUAAUUUAAGGUGCUCCUUUUACAGUACCUCUCUUUAUUGUUGUAACUGAGAUUCUCAAAGCAGCUAAUCACCAGGAGCACCUCUGGCCUAAAUACUUUUUAAAUAAAGCUUUUCUCUCCAGAGCUAUUUCAAAAUGUGAAAAAUUGUCCUGUCAAUUCUAGCUGUAGCAGUCUCUAUCUCAGGUAAAAUAUAUGAUUCUAUUUCCCUGUCAUUUGCAUAAUUUGAUUGGAUGUAUUUUGCAAUUUUACUUUUAAUUGGAAUUCCUGCUUAUUCUUCCUGAGAAUUAUUGUACACCUCACCCCAUAAUUUCCAAACUAAUGUAUAUCAGUGUUUUGUUGGCUGGCAUUAGGAUAUUGAAAAUACUUUGCAUUCUUCCUUUGAGAGUAGUUGAAUCACCAGGGGCACUUCCUCUGAGUGCAAAAAUGGAAUUACUGACCAAACUGCGUAAAUUUCAAAAAUUGUAAAUAGUAUUUAAAGUUAAUUAUGUCUCACUGCAUAAAAAUCAUCCUGGUAAAUACAGUGUUCUAGCUGUUUUGUAAGAUUCUUUUCCUCUUUGCCUGCUGUUCUUUUGAAGCAGCUAAGAGAAAGUAUCUGAGCUGAAACACAGUUCAGGUUACUGUCAGCUGUUAUAAAAGGAAGAUAGGUCAAACAGGAGGCAGCCAUCAUCCCUUUGGAGAUGACAGCCCCUGAUCCUGCCCUUUGGCCCUAUUAGACAGACCCAGCCAGGAUAACUGCUGGGGAGUGCUCUGAGCUGUCAGAGGCAAUGGUGAAACACCUGAAACUGCUUUCUGACUGCUUGGCAUUGCAUUUGUCACUUGUAUGAAGGCACUGCGAGUGAAAAACCAAUGUUAAAAGCCAACUGGUUGGCUGCAAUAGCUAGACUACAAAGCUAGCUUUGGCUACAAAGCUAAACUGGUUGGCUUUCUAGCUAUUUAAAAUAUCAAAUCACAAAAUAAUUUUGGCUGGAAAAGAGUCUCUGAAGGACCAUCUAGUCCAACAGCAUGCUCAAACCAAGACUGAUUUCCAAGUUAGACCAGGAUAUAUAGGUGAAGGUGUGUGUAUAUAUGUGUCAGGGGAGAAUUAGCCUUAUCUGUGUUGAAACAGGUCUGGACUAGAAAAAAAAAUAAAUAAAAGGAUGAGCAUUUAAA